rnacentral:rRNA from 1 species
UACGUAGGGGGCUAGCGUUGUCCGGAUUUAUUGGGCGUAAAGAGCGUGUAGGCGGUCCUGUAAGUCCGCUGUGAAAGUCAAGGGCUCAACCCUUGAAUGCCGGUGGAUACUGCAGGACUAGAGUCCGGAAGAGGCGAGUGGAAUUCCUGGUGUAGCGGUGAAAUGCGCAGAUAUCCGAAGGAACACCAACGGCGAAGGCAGCACUCUGGGCCGGUACUGACGCUGAGGAGCGAAAGCGUGGGGAGCGAACAGG